rnacentral:tRNA from 1 species
GAAGAUACAGCUUAGUGGUAGAGUGUGUGCUCAACAAGCUUGAGGUUCUGGGUUCAAUCCCCAGUACCCCCA